GAACGCACAUUGCGCCCCUUGGUAUUCCGGGGGGCAUGCCUGUUCGAGCGUCAUUAAUACCAAUCUAGCCCGGCUAGGUGUUGGGCCUCGCCGUCUGGCGGGCCUUAAAAUCAGUGGCGGUGCUCCUCAGCUCUACGCGUAGUAAUUCUUCUCGCUAUAGGGUCUGUGGAGAUACUUGCCAGCAACCCCAAAUUUUUUCAGGUUGACCUCGGAUCAGGUAGGGAUACCCGCUGAACUUAAG
rnacentral:misc_RNA from 1 species